rnacentral:SRP_RNA from 1 species
GCCGGGCGCGGUGGCGCGCGCCUGUAGUCCCAGCUACUCGGGAGGCUGAGGUGGGAGGAUCGCUUGAGUCCAGGAGUUCUGGGCUGCAGUGCGCUAUGCCGAUCGGGUGUCCGCACUAAGUUCGGCAUCAAUAUGGUGACCUCCCGGGAGCGGGGGACCACCAGGUUGCCUAAGGAGGGGUGAACCGGCCCAGGUCGGAAACGGAGCAGGUCAAAACUCCCGUGCUGAUCAGUAGUGGGAUCGCGCCUGUGAAUAGCCACUGUACUCCAGCCUGGGCAAUAUAGUGAGACCCUGUCUCU